UAGGGAAUCUUCCACAAUGGACGAAAGUCUGAUGGAGCAACGCCGCGUGAGUGAUGAAGGGUUUCGGCUCGUAAAACUCUGUUGUUGGAGAAGAACGGGUGUCAGAGUAACUGUUGACAUCGUGACGGUAUCCAACCAGAAAGCCACGGCUAACUACGUGCCAGCAGCCGCGGUAAUACGUAGGUGGCAAGCGUUGUCCGGAUUUAUUGGGCGUAAAGCGAGCGCAGGCGGUUUUUUAGGUCUGAUGUGAAAGCCUUCGGCUUAACCGGAGAAGUGCAUCGGAAACCGGGAGACUUGAGUGCAGAAGAGGACAGUGGAACUCCAUGUGUAGCGGUGAAAUGCGUAGAUAUAUGGAAGAACACCAGUGGCGAAGGCGGCUGUCUGGUCUGCAACUGACGCUGAGGCUCGAAAGCAUGGGUAGCGAACAGGAUUAGAUACCCUGGUAGUCCAUGCCGUAAACGAUGAGUGCUAAGUGUUGGAGGGUUUUCCGCCCUUCAGUGCUGCAGCUAACGCAUUAAGCACUCCGCCUGGGGGAGUACGACCGCAAGGUUGA
rnacentral:rRNA from 1 species